UCACCGUUCAAGACGGAGCACCACGAACUGGAGGAAGGGCGUGCAGGACGACGGAGCACCUUACAGCAUUGCGACGAAGGCUUUAUAACGCGUCAACAUCGACACACCGGCGGCAAUGCCACCAAAAAAUGCCGUCAAGAGGAACCAAAAAUCGUCGAAGCAGCGCGACAACUUCGACGAGGCCACCAUCGACGCCCUGGUCAUGGCUAUCGAGGGCAAGGCGAAGAAGGGCACCACCAAGUCGCAGCUGAAGCAGAAGGAGGAUAAGUCACUGAGUCGCGCGAAUGGUCAGGGCUACGUUCUGAGCGAGCAGAUGCGCAACGUGCUGCUGGCGCAGAUGCAGCAGCCGGCGGCGCAGGAGGAGCAGUACGUGAACGUGCCGGUGCCGUUGACGGGGGAGGAGAGGGGGUGGCAGGAGGUGGCGCCGAACCGGUACAUCCGGUAUGAGCAGUUUGGCGGCAGCGACGCGGAAAUGAACUUUAUCGUAAACCUCUUCACCGCGGAGCUGACGGAGCCGUACAGCAGCUUCACGUACCAGUACUUUGUCUUUGGCUGGCCCGACCUCUGCAUCACGGCAUUCGGCGUAGAGAGUGAGACAACGCCCGAUAGUUCGGUCGUCGGCGAGAAGGUCGGCGCCGUAGUGUCGCGCGUGACGCGCAAGGGCGCUGGUAUGCCGCUGCGCGGCUACGUGGCGAUGUUUGCCGUGGUGCCCAAGUUCCGCGGCUACCGCCUCGGCAGCCGUCUCGUCUCACUCACCGUCGAACUGAUGCGCGAAAAGGGCUGUGACGAGGUGUAUCUCGAGACGCCGACGUCGAACGUUCGCGCCCUGGGACUCUACCUGAACCUCGGCUUCGCCAAGACAAAGUACCUGCCGCGCUACUACCUUGACCACUCUGACGCCGUGCGUCUGAAGCUGUGGCUGAAGGAUGCCGUCCCAAAGUCUGUCCCAGAGACGGCCUCCACGGCUGGUGUGGAGAAGGCGUAGCCGGGACUUUGAGAGCUCGUCUUGAAUGAAAGGAGAAGGUGUAGGACUUUCAAGGCAGGAGGAUAGGGGGGGGGGUCGUGACGUGCUGCGGCGGGGAGGAGAGGGCUCAGUUGUCGGCGAGGGGGUGGCACGGCCACCCUAGCAUUCUCUGCUCUUCAUGCUACACUGCCCAACCCUCCCCCCUCGCUCCCACAGCCCGCAUCUCCUCUGCCACACUUUCUCUGCUUUUCCCCCGCCACCCCAACGCUUUUCUUCCUAUGUCGUCACUAAG
rnacentral:misc_RNA from 1 species